UAGAAGCAGCCCAGGCUGCCCUGCAGCUGCCCGAGAUAAACGCUGCAGUCUGGCUCUAAAUGCCAAUGUCUUUAGCUAAUCUAAGCAGAGCAUGAGCAGGGAGAAUUCAUGGCUGGGAGCCGGGGUGGAGUCACAGAGAGAAACUCUUAAGAGCAGGAGGCCCAAGUGCAUGAUGGGAAGUAUAACGUUUAACCAGCGCAUCAACUCUAAGGGGCUUCUAAUGAUCGGGUAGGUGGGAUGAGAGUGUGGACCAGUCUUCGAAACAGGCAAGCUGUUAAGGGGCCUCUGGCAGGGCACAGGUGUUUUCCCACCCGCUGUGGUUCAUCUGGGGCAAGAGCAGUCUUCGAAGUCCGGACACCAGUGUUUUUAAUUACUUAAGAAAUGCACACCGUUGUAAGGACUCACAAAACAGCAAACUGUGAUGUAAGGAUGACACCUGAUCUCCUCUGCUGCUUACACUCUUAGCACUUGGAAAAGUAACCUCCAGGAUCUUCUGGCCCUGGCCUCUGCCAGCAGAAACUCCUCGCCCUUAUCAGGCCACCCGCUGCUUUCUGUCCGGCCGGCUCGCUGGGUGGGGUAUUCUAGAAGGCCCUGGGACCCAGUGCAGGCUGACUGUCCAGCAGAAGCCUGGUCUGAGAUCUCUCGGAGCUCUGGACAUGCUGUUCCUUCGAGUGAGAGUCAAUUCAGAAAACAUGCAAAGAACAGAAAAUGAAACGGAAAAAAACAAAAUACAGGAACAACAAGAUCAUCCAUAAACAUAACUCUGGAGACAG